AGGAUAAGGACAAGAUUCAUGCAGAGAAUACCCAAGCUACAAUUUACUGCAAUUCACAUGUUUUGAAUUCUUCAAUCUUGAAUUGUUUAAUGAUGAUAGCUAUCUUGCACCGUACUAUAAAAUCAUGGAAGCACUCUUGUUCCUCUCACACUUCAUGGGCGACAUCCACAAGCCACUGCAUGUGGGGUCCUCCUGUGACAAAGGAGAUAACACCAUCAACGUCCACUGGUACAGAAGGAAAUCUGUACUCCACCAUAUGCUGGCCUAGAUUCAUGUUUUGUCGUGAGGUCCAGGAUGAACAAGUUGGGAGAAGCAUUGGAGCUAGUUAUACUGUGAUAGCUGUGUUACCUGAUGUGAACAUUCUUUUAUUGUAAACCUGAUGUGAACCAUGUUUGAUUGUAAUAAUGUGCCAAGUUUGGCUCUUUCUGAUUGUAUUCAUGAUGUGAACCAUAUUUUUCCGGAUUAGUCGUGCUCUGUUUGAAGCAUUUUGUUUUCUCUCUA